rnacentral:rRNA from 1 species
AUUGAACGCUGGCGGCAGGCCUAACACAUGCAAGUCGAGCGGAGCGGCGGACGGGGGAGGAAUGCCUAGGAAUCUGAAUGGUAGUGGGGGAUAAAGAUCGGAAACGGGCGCUAAUACUGAAAACUAUCAGCUGAGCCUAGGGCGGAUUAGCUAGUUGGUGGGGUAAAGGCCUACCAAGGCGACGAUCCGUAACUGGUCUGAGAGGAUGAUCAGUCACACUGGAACUUAGACACGGUCCAGACUCCUACGGGAGGCAGCAGUGGGGAAUAUUGGACAAUGGGCGAAAGCCUGAUCCAGCCAUGCCGCGUGUAUGAAGAAGGUCUUCGGAUUGUAAAGCACUUUAAGUUGGGAGGCGUUACCAACAGAAUAAGCACCGGCUAACUUCGUGCCAGCCGCCGCGGUAAUAC